GCAGCCGCGGUAAUACGUAGGUGGCAAGCGUUGUCCGGAAUUACUGGGUGUAAAGGGAGCGUAGGCGGGAAAGCAAGUUGAAUGUUUAAACUAUCGGCUCAACCGGUAGUCGCGUUCAAAACUGCUUUUCUUGAGUGGAGUAGAGGCAGGCGGAAUUCCUAGUGUAGCGGUGAAAUGCGUAGAUAUUAGGAGGAACACCAGUGGCGAAGGCGGCCUGCUGGGCUCUAACUGACGCUGAGGCUCGAAAGCGUGGGUAGCAAACAGGAUUAGAUACCCC
rnacentral:rRNA from 1 species